rnacentral:rRNA from 1 species
UUAUCUUUAUAUUUUAUAUUUAUUAAAAUUUAAACUGUAAAGGAUAAUUUUUACUAUAUUAAAGAAAUUCAAUUUUCCUUUAGUAUCAGGAGUUUUCAAUUCCUUUUAAAUAUAUUUAUUUCCUGAAAUAAGGUCAUCUAUAAUUUUAUUUUAUUAUUGUUUCAAAAAUACUGUUAAUAAAAUUUUAGAAGUUAAACUCUAUUCGAACCUUAUGAUAUCCGGUUUCUUUUUAAUUUUAACAAAUAAUUAUUCUUAAAAAGAUAAAUUUUUAGGUUUAUUUUAAUAAAUUGUCACCUUUUUCAGGAAUAAAAGUUUCCAAAAAGUUUCAUAACUAAUAUUUUUUAUUAAUAAAAUUUCUUUAUAAAGAUUCCCACAAUUAAUUUUAAUAAUGAGAUCAUAAGUAGAUAUUUUUAUUAAUAGUUUAAUAAUUAGGCAAUUAAUUGAAUGACUGUUUACCAAAAACAUUUCUUAAAGUUUUUAAUUUUAAGUAACACCUGCUCAGUGAUCUUUAAAUAGCCGCAAAUUUUUAACCUUCAUCUCGUACCGUAAUCACUAGCCUCUUAAUUAGAGGCUUCUCUGACAGGAGCAGCCUUUCCAUUUCUUUUUUGACUAUUUUUUUCUAAAUUUAAUUAAGAAUAAAAAUGUUCUUAUUUUUAAAAAAGACGAUAAGACCCUAUUGAACUUUACUGAAGUUUAGCUGGGGCAGCUAUUUAAUAAUCAUCUUAUUUUAAAAAUUGUUCUUUGAAUGACCCAAUUUUAUUGAUUAUAUGAACAAGUUACCAUAGGGAUAACAGCGUAAUAUCUUUUUAAAGUUCUUAUUAAAAAAGAUGAUUGCGACCUCGAUGUUGAAUUAAUGUUACUUUACUAAUGCAGCAAUUUUAAAAGUAGGUCUGUUCGACCUUUAAUACAUUACAUGAUUUGAGUUCAAAUCGGUGUAAACCAGAUUGGUUUCUAUCUUUUUAUAAUUUUUAUUUAGUACGAAAGGACCAAUAAAUUUAUUUUUAAUA